rnacentral:lncRNA from 1 species
CUUAGAGAAAAUGGCGGCGCCCAGAGAAAUGGGUGGAUAAUCUGAAUUAAUUAAAAAAUCGGAAAAAAUCGGAAAAAAUUGGGAAAAAUUAGGGAAAAUCAGAAAAAAUUAGAAAAAAUUAGAAAAACAUAGAAAGAAAUGGACAAAAAUAUAAAAAAAUUGGGAUUGAAUCUGGGAUGGUGUAAAUUUAAUUGCAUAUCAUAAAAUUCUUCCAGGACCAGGGAAAAAUGCGGUAAAUGAUAAAUCAAUUAAAAAAAACCGAAAAAACAAGGAAAAAUUAGGGAACAAUUCUGGAAUAGGUGCACUUUGAUGGUCCUCUCGUUCACCUUGACGUGUGUGGCUUCACGCGCAAAUGACACUCGCAGGUAACCCCUCAGAUCAGAGAAAAUUAAGAGAAUUCAUGUGGUUUAUAAUCUCUAUCGCAUGACAUUCGGUGACAUGCACAAAGUGCAGCGUGCUCUACUCUCCUCCUCGAAUCUUGAAAGAUUUCCUAGAAGGUCGUACAGAACACAAGGAGUGCAUUUUCGGUUUGAACCGACCCCAACAGGUUACCUACAUCUCGGAGGCCUCCGUACAGCUCUGUGCAACAUGGUGCAACUAUUUAUUGGCCCGGGCCAAGUAAAGAAAUUCUAUUCCACCUGUAAAAGACACGAAUCAAACAGGACUCAUACCAGAUGCUGCUGGUAACCUCCAAGAGGAUCAAUUUUGGGCUGGAAUCAUCCCGCACAAAGACCCAACAAGGAGUGGACCCGUAGGCCCUUACUUUCAAUCAAAACGUCUGGAAUUAUACAAGUUCAAGAAGUUUUUGUUUAGACAAUAGACUGGGACUCUUCGGACAAGAAUUGUUGAGGCUCAGGCAAACACCAAAGUACAACAAGUGUAAACACCUGAGCAAAGAGGAUCUGAAGGAUAAAAUUGAGGGGAGGAGAAUCUUACUGCGUCAGAUUUGAGGUAGGAGAAAGACGUUUGGCUGGCGAUUCGACUUCAAUUGUAAGAUGAUAACUGGGUUCAUAAUAUUGUAAUAUUGAAACGAACAUUAUACAUCUUGCGAAUGA